rnacentral:tRNA from 1 species
AUUAUUUUGGCAGAAAAUAUUAUGCGAUAAAUUUAGAAUUUAUUAAUGUAAAUUUAUUUACAAAUAAUA